rnacentral:rRNA from 1 species
AGAUUGAACGCUAGCGGGAUGCUUUACACAUGCAAGUCGAACGGCAGCGCGGACUUCGGUCUAGCGGCGAGUGGCGAACGGGUGAGUAAUAUAUCGGAACGUGCCCAGUAGCGGGGGAUAACUACGCGAAAGCGUGGCUAAUACCGCAUACGCCCUACGGGGGAAAGGGGGGAUCGCAAGACCUCUCACUAUUGGAGCGGCCGAUAUCAGAUUAGCUAGUUGGUGAGGUAAAGGCUCACCAAGGCGACGAUCUGUAGCUGGUUUGAGAGGACGACCAGCCACACUGGGACUGAGACACGGCCCAGACUCCUACGGGAGGCAGCAGUGGGAAUUUGGACAAGUGGGGGAAACCCUGAUCCAGCCAUCCCGCGUGUGCGAU